GGGCUAACAAAUCAUUAUCCAUAUUUGAUCGGAAUCCACUUCAAAUUUUCUUUUCAGAAUCUAUAUCCAUCUUGGAUUUUAAUUAGAUUGGAUUGGAUCAAAUAUCCGAUGGAUCAUAUGAAAUUGCCAUCUAUCCAGUAGAUCAUAUGAAAUUGCCAUCUCUAAUAAUUAGGAGCACUGGCAAUAAUUUGGAUAAAGGAAGAGAUAGC
rnacentral:lncRNA from 1 species